CAACAAGCACAAGCAGGCCUGUGGGAUAAACCCAAAUAAACUAUGGUAGGGCUUUGGCAUGACCCAUUUGAAGAAUGACAGAAUACAGGUCUGAUACAUGGAUGAGUAGUAAUUCAGGACCCAGAACCAGUACAUUUCACCAGGAGGAGUUCCCUAAUGCUAGGAAAAUCCAUCAUAUGCUGAACUGUAUAAUACUAGAACAGAGUCAUAGGAAGAGAGGAGAUAAGGUGUUGCUUAAGAAGCCAAAUCAACUUAUUGCCCUAAUAUCUGGAAUGAAGCAACUUCAAGGAAAAACAAGUCCUUUCAAGAGGUUUGGUUUGGUUUUGUUUCUUUUUUAAUUCUGGAGUGACUUUUGUAGUUCUAUUUUGAAGAUAUCUUCUUUUUAAAGCAUGUGUAUCACCAAUGAAGUUAACUAUCUCACAUAUCAUUUGUUGCAUUUUCUGUUCACUGUAAAUAAAACAAGCAAACUGAAGAGUUAGCAAAGAAAAGGGGUAAAAAUAAGUGAAUGGAAAAAAACCCCUAUCUAUUUGUAUAGAUAAAUACAAUGAGCUAGAUCCAAUUUUCUCAUGUAUGAUGAAACACACAUGCAAAUGGGUUUCUCAGCCAAACCCUAGACUGCACAGUGUCUCCAGUAGGUGUUUUGGGCACCCUGAUUCCUCCCAAAGCCAACUCACAAACCUCUGCUGUCUACUUGGCUUUCCAAACCAUUUGCCCUACUUACUGUCAGUCUGGCUUGGCUUAUGCCAGCAAUAACACACAGAUGUAGUAGCAGUAUCCACACGGACCAGUCUCCCUGGUUGCUUUUAUCCUAUACACACAGGCGGCCUCUGACCCACAGUCUAAAUCCAGUGGCUGGCACUUACACCUUCACACGCAGAAAAGAGAAUAUUUUGCCUUACCUGGGAAAAUAGUCAGACAUGGAGUUUAAUGAGAAGACAGGGCAGACAGUGCUGAUCAGGUACAGAGCAUGGCCAGGCACACAUACUGACCAGAAAGCUCUUUACGUGCAGCCAACACUUAGGCCCUUAUCCCUCUAUUUUUUCAUACUUGUCCCUCUCAAAACCAAUUUGAUUCUUUCAUUUCCUUCCUAUGGUCCUUCCUUGAGCAUCCCCUACUAAGUUUUUUCUAAAAUGCUGUUCCCUGCAUAGCAGGGUAAGUCCUGUACUGCAGCAGGUAGCACGCUUCUCAAACUGAGAGGUGAUGAGGUGACUUUCUGCUGCCAGCCUGGGGCAGUGGAGCUGACACUUUCCUGGGGCAGGGGCUCAGGCGUCUCAUGAGGCUGUUGAAUCACCCCACCUGCCAGUGACAUGCUGGGCUGCACAGUAUGGUUGAAAGUAAGCCUUUAGUCACAUACCUGACAGAAGUUUCUCUCCCUUGUGAAAUGCUGUCAUCUAGUCCUAAUUACCUAGUAAAUACAUAGCAGCAAUAGUGAA